CCCAUGGCAGCUGGCUUCAUCUCCCUUCAGAUUAGGCUGGUGGUUCUAUAGCCGGUUCAUCUAUCAUUUUUUUACUAAUGGUUCUCUUUUUUGAAGGAUUGAUUAGUGGUUCUUGCCUUCUUGUUACGUGCAGCGGAUGGGAAGCUGAUGAACUGCAGCUGCAUGCGCACAACACUUGCAUCAUUGAGGUACUCACUCCUCUACAGAACAUAACUAACUGCAUGAUGUGCAGCUGGGAGCCUGGGAAUGGCCUGUUACAGUGACAUGUUACACCGCCAGUCCCCCACUCAUUUUGCAACUACAUCUCGUAAUUGGUUUUUGUAGCUCCACUUCUACGACUUAUGAUUGUUGUGACAGGAUCUUUAAGAGAACACCUAUGAUUGCAGCGGCCAAGCUCUUCGGUCGUUCUUCUGAAAUUUCCUGUACUAAAAUUUGUUGUAUCCUUCAUAUAAGUGGGGUUUAGGCUUUUAGCCUAAGAAAUACAAGUUGCUAAUUUCAGCAGUUGAGCAGCCUUGCGGAAUAGUACAGUGAACAAGAAGCCUGCAUUUGUUGAUUUUAUUCAUUUAAUGGUUAUUAGGCUAAGUCGAAGGACUAGCGGGACUUAUAAACAUCAGGUCACCUUUUAAAGGGUCUUUGAAAGAAGUGUUUAAGGAUCUGCAAUUGUGCCGUGGUAAAAUCUACUGACGUUGGUGUUUCUUUUCAAGAUUAUACUAUUGUUUACCCAUUUGGUCCACGUUUUGUCUACUAAAAUUAUUUUUCUAUUCCUUGUGGAUAAUUUGCUUCAGUUCAUCAGACUAUCUGGUGAAACAUGCAUAUUGUUUAUCCAAACAUAUAUUGGGUAUUAGUUCACCAAUCAUGAGAUCUCUGAAUUUUGAAGGCAAAUGGUAUUUUCUGAAUUGUCACUGUUAAGUGGGAGAAGUGAUAGAGAAUGAAGAAUUGUUCCUUCAUAAAGUUUUACCAAUGUAAUUGUGUUUUAUUUCAAGAUUCUAUCAUUAUGUACCAUUUUUCUCACUAGAACAAUAUAAUUAUGUACUUAUUUACAAUUUUUUGCAGAUACUAUGCUUGGACUCAAAGUGCAAUGGAGGUUAGUUCUCUUCUUCUUUCUCUAUUAUUCCGUUUCAAGUUGUGUGAUCCUCUAAUAUUUAGAGAUUCCUGAUUGGGCGCAUUCCAUGGUUGUUGCAUAUUUCGCAAAGUACUGGGAGAAGGACAAGUAGCUCCAUGGUAUACUUUUGAAGGGCGGAUAUUUUUUUCCAGAAAAGGCGGAAGACUUGCGCUUCAUUAUAUCAUAAGAAGCGAGAAGACAGAGUGUGAUAAUUACAAGAGACCUGACCCUAUCAGGCAACAACUGAAUAAAAGUUCCUAACUAUCUGGAUAUUUCUUUUUGUACAAAAUUGAUGAAUCAUUUCCUGUUCGUUUUGCAGAAAUUUGUGGAUAUUUAAGUUGAAGGGCCACCAUCUUACUCACACAGGUCA
rnacentral:lncRNA from 1 species